rnacentral:piRNA from 1 species
UGUUCUGUUACUGAGCAGCUCAGAC